UCCGGUUGAUCCCGCCGGAGGCUACUGCUAUUGGAAUUCGACUAAGCCAUGCGAGUCAAGGUGUCUUCGGACGCCGGCAUACGGCUCAGUAACACAUAGGUAACCUACCCUCAGGACUGAGAUAACCCCGGGAAACUGGGGCUAAUAUUAGAUAGAUAAAAGAUACUGGAAUGUUCUUUUAUCCAAAGCUUUUGCGCCUGAGGAUGGGCCUGCGCCCGAUUAGGUUGUUGGUGGGGUAAUGGCCCACCAAGCCUACGAUCGGUACGGGCAGUGGGAGCUGAAGCCCGGAGUUGGGGACUGAGACAAGGCCCCAGGCCCUACGGGGCGCAGCAGGCGCGAAACCUCUGCAAUGCGGGAAACCGUGACAGGGGGAUUCCAAGUGCUCAUGCAUUGCAUGGGCUGUUCUUUGGUCUAAGUAACCAGAGGAGUAAGGGCUGGGCAAGACCGGUGCCAGCCGCCGCGGUAAUACCGGCAGCUCAAGUGGUAGCCGCGAUUAUUGGGCCUAAAACGUUCGUAGCCGGAUAAGUAAGUCUUUGGUUAAAUCCUGCGACUUAACCGUGGGAAAUCUAGAGAUACUGCUUGUCUUGAGACCGGGAGAGGUUGGAGGUACUCCCAGGGUAGGGGUGAAAUCCUGUAAUCCUGGGGGGACCACCUGUGGCGAAGGCGUCCAACUGGAACGGGUCUGACGGUGAGGGACGAAACCUAGGGGAGCGAGCCGGAUUAGAUACCCGGGUAGUCCUAGGCGUAAAUGAUGCGAGUUAAGUGUGGGGGCAUCCACGAGAUGGCCCUGUGCUGUAGGGUAGCCGUUAAACUCGCUGCCUGGGGAGUACGGUCGCAAGGCUGGAACUUAAAGGAAUUGGCGGGGGAGCACCACAAGAGGUGGAGGCUGCGGUUCAAUUGGAGUCAACGCCGGG
rnacentral:rRNA from 1 species